ACAAUUUCCACGGAGAAGAGAACAACCACUCCAUUUUUCCAUUUUUCUUUUCUGAAUAACACAGACCACAUCCAUGAAAUUCAUCACUGUAGUACGUACCAACACACAUAUAUAUCACCAGAAAACACUCACAGUCACCGGAAUCCGACCCUCUCCCAUCAGUUUAGUUGCCAUCUGAGCUCUGGAGUUCCAGCCAUACGUCCUUUUCUUGGUUUUUGUGACAAAUUCAGAUAUUUGUUGGUUCACUGCUCUUGGCAGAAUUUUGUUCGUGUAUUGUUUGUUCUGCGCUAUUUUAUCUUGGGGUCAUUGGAAGACGGUCAAAGGGAUGCAUACCGGAGCUGGGGGUUCGAGUUGAAGUUCCAAAUCAAGGUUCUUCGGCAUACGGAUUCAUACUCUCGAUUGACUGAUAUUCGGAGUAAAAUCAUCAUUGAGGUCCAUUUCUAUUCCUUUUCUCUUUUUAUUUCAUUGUUGAAGGAAUAUGGUUCAUUGGAUGGAAUCUAUGUGUUGUUUGAUCUUGAUUAGUGAUUAAUUGCUACUUUGAUAUUCACUUGUUGCUUAGUUUCAUUGAAAUAGAAAUCGUGAAUUGAGGAAAAUUAGCGUUAAAAGGGAAUUUGGGGUGUGAGAAUUGAAAACUUGAUAUAAUUGGUGAAUUUUGAUUAGUUUGAUUCAUGGGUUGUUUGACUCGAAAUGAACGUUAAUUGAACUUGGUAGUAUCAUGAUACGUCAAUUGGUUUAGGCAAACAUAGAUUGGGUGGCAAACAUAUCAGUAAAAGGUGAAUGUUAUGGUAUUUUGAUUCAUUGUUGAUGGCGAACAUUAAUAGUAUCAUGUUUUAGAUCGAGAAUUGAUAGGCAAAUCGUAGGUUCGGGUAGACAAAUUUAGGAAUAAUGUUUGGUUGAAUGCUUGAAAUCCGUGUUGAAUGGCUUGGUAUGUUCACUUUUUGGAUCAAAUGUAUCAUUUGGCCAGGGAAUGCCCCGAGGGAUUUGUAUUGAUUUAUCCGGGGAAUGCCCUGAAGUAUUUUGUUGGCGGCAGAAGUUCGUGAUGAAGGCCCGAGGCGUCGGUUAAAGCACGGGAACGUAGUUAGGAUUAGUAUAGGUUAGAUAGGAUUUAUUUUCGCAUUUUUUAUUUUGGGACUGUAUAACUCGGACUGGACUUUAUUUUGGUUUUGAACUCUGUUUGAUUUGUUGGUUGCUUGUUUUACGUGUUUUUGUGUGGUUUAUACAUUUGUGAUGUGAAAUUAGCUGAUAUGCUCCGCCAAGCGACCAUGAUCGAACCACGGGAUCGAGGGGUGCCUAACACCUUCCCCUCGGUCAACAGAAUUCCUUAGCCGGAAUCUCUAUUCGCAAAUCAGUUGAAAGAGUCAAAUUGUUUUGAAAAGGAACUUUUAAAGGUGACUUGGCACACUGGAUUAUGUCAAGUGGCGACUCUGAAUAAAAAAUUUAAAUAAUCUUUUUUUGAAACAAAUUUUCAAUCUUUUGUCACUUUAAUAAUAAAAAUCCUUUCGACCCUUAAAAUAAUAAUCUUUUUUUUGUUGAAAAAAGGGGUGUGACAGCUCUAGCGACUCCGCUGGGGAGGAAUUUUCUGGAUUCGAGCUAAUUUUGGAGUUGUAUCGGCUUUGUUUGACAUUAUGGGUAUAUAGACAUUGUUUGUGUUAUUGUUCGUACUCAUUUUAUCAGUGUUGAGUGCCUACGUGCUCUUUGUUUAUAGUUUUACUUUAUGUGUUACCGCUUUAUAUCUGACAUCAUGUGCAUAACCCGAGUCAUUCCUUCUGCAACAAGUCCGUAGUAUACGUGUUGUACACGACCUCUAGUUGAGUCACCCUUAAUUUAGGAGGGGGAGCCGUCGAUGUUAUGGAGAAGGUAGAAAGCUCUCGCAGCCACUAUCGACCAUACGCACCCCCGAACAGCCUUGUUAGUGAACCCCAGCUUAGAUCAACCUUUGAGACAUGCUUAUUUGCAUCAUAUUAAGACCUAGUGGGACCCACAUGGCCCUUUGUAGGAGACUCACCACUAAAGCAUCCGAACGUGCUAAUUAUUGCAUCUUUAGGGGUAACAUGGUCAUUUGCCGAACUGAUUUGAGGAAUGCAUGUGGUAGAAGUAAAGUGUGUAGACAAGAAAGUAUUGAAAAACAGAAAAAGAAAAAGGUGAAUCAAAAAAGAGAGUUUGGUAGUUUUUAGAGUUUUUUUAUGGAUUUUGUUUUUCAUAGUUCAAAAAUUUAAAAAGAUGUUUUUAUCUUUCGCACUCAUUUUCUCAAAAACAUCAAAAAGAUUUUCCUUUGUCUCGUUUAACAUGCAUUUACAAUUCGAAAACUUCAAAAAGAUUUUUCAUUCAUAGGAGUUUUUAUAAAAGAAGAAUGCAAAAAAAAGAUGUUAGAAAUUUUUUACAUUUCGUAUAACGAAAAUACCAAAAAGAUUUUUCUUUCAUAGUUGUUGGUGUCAGUUUUGUGUGAAGUGUCUAGUUGAAAACCCAAAAAGAUUUUAUUUCUCAUCACCCGUCUGUAAUCGCGUCUCUCAAGUCAAGUCUUAGUUCGUUUUAAUUCUUAAUUGUCCAAUCUGGACGAAUUAUGCACCCCUGAUUCUUCUCUCUCGGGAGUGAUAUAUGUAGGCGGCCUAUUGUGGGUUCAGGGAUCUUAUUUGAAAAAUCCAAAAAAAAAAAAAUUUCUUCACUUUUCCUUUAAAGUAGGUGUUUCCUAUAUCUUUAAAAGAAAAUCAUAAAAAAGAUUUUUUGUUAAUAGCUUCAAGUCUCAUUUUUGUAUGAAAUUAAAAAAUUGAAAAAUCCCAAAAGAUUUUUCUUUGGUAAUCAUAGGUUUCAUUUUGUAUAGGGAAUUUAAAAUUGAAAAAUGCAAAAAGAUUUUUGUCAAUUCUUUUGACAAUUUGUUAUUUUUGAAGUUUUUGAAAAGAAAAAAAAAGAAAAAGAAUUAAUUGGCCAUUUUGGCAAGACUUCAUGAACUACGCACACCUGAUUCUCCCCUAUCGGGGUGAGAUACGUAGGCGCCUUUCUUGGGUUCGGUGAUCUUUUCAAAAAAAAAAGAGAGAUUUUGAGAAAGUGUUGAACUCUAACGCAUUUGCUAUCUCUUGUUCAAUUAGUUUGAGGUGGUUGGUUUGUGGCUUCCUGGCUGGUCCUCCAUAUCACACCAAAUCCAAGGAAGGGUUAGUUGUGUACAACAAGGAUAUAGAGAGUGGCAUUAUGGAUGAAACAAAGAGUCAGGAUAUUGAGAGUUUAAAGGAAGAGAAUUUGAGACUGGGACAACAAAUGAUGGAAAUGUAUCGAGCUUGGGCCAGUGGGCUGCCUCCACCUCCGUUCCCCACUUUUGACUUUGCAAAUACCUUGAGUCUUCUACCAAAAUCGUAAAGUUGGUUUCCUACUGUUAUUGAUGCGCCACAGUAUGCCUCAGAAUCCAUUCCACGUCAAAUGCACCUCAAUACUUCCACCAUUCUUUCUUUAGCUCCUCAGUACAAGUCUACCACAUUCACAGCACCACAUAUCGUCUGUGCUUUUGUUGCUCAACCUUCUACUAAGACUUUCACUUUGGCUAUCAAUCCAACAAUUGUGCUUCCUCAGUCUACUAGUGAAUCCACGUUCAAUACUCUUGAUGAUCAUUGUUACACUCUUGAGCCUACCCUCAAAUUAAGUUGACCGCCAAAAUUUCUUACUAAGAAGUCUAGCAUGCUAGAAGACUUAGAGAAAGUGGUUGGGAAAGUUAAGAGUGUAGAAAAUGAUAUGAAAAAUUCCCCUGGACUUAUGGGCUAUGAAGAUGUCUCGUAUAAAAACUUGGGCAUGUCAUCAAGUGUUAACCUUCCUCCUAGUUUUAAGACAUCAAAAUUUAGGGAGCCUGAUGGACAGAAGGAUUCUAUGAAACAUUUGGGAUGACAUUGCAAUCAACCAAGGAAAAGUGAAGGAAAGAAAAAAGAAAACGCACCUAUCAUCAUGCCAGGGCCAAAGCAGAGUUUGAGAGGUUCAACCCACCAAUACUGUCAGCCUCAAUUUCGAGCUUACAUAUUAGAUCCACAUAACCUAUUGCAAUAACGUUUCUUUCUCCAAAAUUCAAGAAAUCCCAUUCUACUUCCUCAAUAUCCUUUGAACAAUGCACAAUUGUAUCCUCAUCCAUCUUCUUAUCCACAAUGGCAUGCACCUGUCCCUCAACAUCGUCCUUGACCCCUACAAAUUUACCAAGGAACCUCUAAAUCCAAGUUUUAUCUGAAGCCACAGUUCGCAAAGAGGAGGAAGGAAAAAGAUAAUUUCACUCCUAUUGGGGAAUCCUAUGCCAGUUUAUUCUAGAGAUUGGUAUAACAGGGCAUGAUCACUCCUCUUCUUGGGUAUACUCCUGACCCACAUUCAAGAAGUUUUGAUCCUAAUGUACAAUGUGCAUAUCAUUCUGAUGUUUAGGGUCAUAGUAUUGAAGAUUGUUGAGAUUUGAAAAGAGAAAUUGAGAAGAUGAUUCAAGAUGGAUCAAUUGUGGUGCAAAACAUUGGCCCCUUGACCAUCCCACAGAGUUCUUCACCAGUAGUACUGUACAAUAUGUGGGAGGAAAUGAGUUAAGCAUGGGGAUCUGUAACUUAUUUGUUAAAGGGAAUGUGCCCAACAGUGGUGGAAGAUCUAGUCAUGCUGAUAUGCAAACCAGUGGCUAAUAUGUCAAGCUGAACAAUUGAGAAGUCACCCCUCUCCCUACUAGGAAAAGGUCUGAUAGUUUAUUUUGUUUUCUUUUCUAUUAUCUAAAUUAUUUCAGGGCGUUAGUUCGGGAUCUAUCUUGUUUUGUCCCUUUGUCGUUUAUGUUCAAACCCUUCUAUCUUUUAUUUCAACUAAAUGAAGUGUUGCUUUCUUUCUAUGUUUUAAAUAUGUGUUGUUUGUUUGUUUUCUUUAUACUGUACAUUUUAUGUUGAUUCUAGUGAUAUGACAUUCCUGCGGAAUUUUUAACCAGAUCUUAAAAUCCAAUUUGACCAUGAAAUAUGGAAUCAGAGGGCUAAGGUUAGAAAAAGCAUCUGAGACAAUAGGUAGAGUGCUGAGACAUUUGGAGACAAGUUGAAGCCUUUUUUGAAAAUUAAGGCAAUUGUUUUGAGAAUCACAAGAAUAACUUGAUCAUCAAUUGAAAGACAUGUCUCAAUUAGGUCAAAUGGUGGAUGUGUGAUCCUAAGUCAAAAGGAAUAGAAAAAUUAGCUCCACGAAAGCAUCAGGAAUGCACAACAAAGGUGGAGUUUGCAAAAGAAGUAGCGACACACAGUCUCAGUUAAAGUUAGUGCUGUAAAAAAUGUCGCAAAUGAUCUUCAUAUUUCACUAUCAUAUUGCAUGACAUGUACUUGCAUUUUCAAGGAUUG
rnacentral:lncRNA from 1 species